UACGAAGGGUGCGAGCGUUAUUCGGAAUCAUUGGGCGUAAAGGGUGCGUAGACGGCGUGUUAAGUUUGUUGUUAAAGGCUCUGGCCUAACCGGAGUAUUGCAAUGAAAACUGGCAUGCUAGAGGGUGAGAGAGAGAAGUGGAAUUCCCGGAGUAGCGGUAAAAUGCGUGGAUCUCGGGAGGAACACCAAUGGCGAAGGCAGCUUCUUGGCUCAUUCCUGACGUUGAGGCACGAAAGCGUGGGGAGCAAACAGG
rnacentral:rRNA from 1 species